UAGGUGAGAGGCAGUAACUCUUUUUCCU
rnacentral:piRNA from 1 species